CGGCACGGGUGAGUAACACGUAUCCAACCUGCCGUCUACUCUUGGCCAGCCUUCUGAAAGGAAGAUUAAUCCAGGAUGGCAUCAUGAGUUCACAUGCCGCAUGAUUAAAGGUAUUUUCCGGUAGACGAUGGGGAUGCGUUCCAUUAGAUAGUAGGCGGGGUAACGGCCCACCUAGUCAACGAUGGAUAGGGGUUCUGAGAGGAAGGUCCCCCACAUUGGAACUGAGACACGGUCCAA
rnacentral:rRNA from 1 species